UUCUCCCCCACAGUGCCUGCCCUCCUGUCUACAUAAGCCAGCCCUAUAAAUAAGGAGAAUCACACAUGGCCUUCAUUGUGAUGCAGAUACAACAAGACCAACCCAAAGGAAUCAACUAGUUCAUAUAAUGUCAAUUGCAGUCUUCACCAUGGGUGAUGUGGAGAUGGAAGAGUGUGGGGCGGCAGCUCCUUUUCUGAAGAAGUCAGAGAAGGAGCGUCUGGAGGCCCUGAUUUGCCCCUUUGACAUGAGGAAGGAAUGUUUUGUGCCCGAUCCUGAGGUUGAAUACGUGAAGGCCUCCAUCACCAGCAGAGACGAUGACAAAGUCACUGUUGAGACUUUGGAAAGGUAAUGCACAGCAAAUACAUCUUAAACCUAUUUCAGAGUCUUUACUUACUGCAUCAAGGCUGAUUCCUGCAAACAAACUUUACUUUAUUUGUGUGUGUGUAUAUAUAUAUAUAUAUAUAUUAUUUUUUUGACAUCUCACCACCUGUACCCAUUACUAUGUAAAUACAAGUCCAGACCGAACUUCACAACCUCAAAUUUUGUGGGAGGGGUUAAGUUUGGCUGGCUUCCAGGCUGAUUACAUGACUAUAAUUGUCUGGUCCAUGACCAUGCUUGUGGCAUGGUGGAAAUAUAUUUUAACCUCAGGUAAACUGUAGAUAUAAUAUUUAAUCUAUGGCUCUGUUCGAAACAGAAAAACUGCUGCCUUUUAAGACAUCUGACAGGGGAGCGAGGCAACAAGUGCUGUUCAAAACCAAAAAAAUAUAUUUUUCCUGCCUUCUAAGGUAGAUUAGAAUUUUUUUGAAGGCAGCGUCAAUGUAUCCUUGAAGCUGCCUACUAACCACAAUUCUGCAGUCACACCAUAUAGGUAUGGUCACAAGACAGCGGCUCUUCUUUCUUUCGGCGGCUGUGGAAGUUUGGUAUGGACGGUGAAAUACUGACCAACUUCUACCGCUGUACCAUUGAGAGCAUCCUGACUGGAAAACAUCACAGCAUGGUAUGGUAACAGCACCGCCCACGAUCGCAAAGCGCUGCAAAUGGUGGUCAGGUCAGCGCAGUGCACUACAAGGACUGAGUUACCAACUAUUCAGGGAACAUGUCAGAACAACACAACUCAGGAGCAUUGUCCAACAACAUUACUCAAAAUGUUGCCUUGUGUGUCAUCAGUUUAAGAAGCAACCUGCAGACCUUUGUGGGAUGUGAGGGGAUGACUAAUGUGAAUUGAACUUUCAUUAUUUGAAUGCAUGAUCAUGGACCACUUGUAAUGCCUUCACAGACCACCAGAGGACUGCAGACAACUUGUAGAAAACCCCUGAAAUAAGUCAGCCUAUCAAAUCUCUGCUUGAUCAAAUCUACUUGAUGAAUAUUCAUUUAUCUACCGAGAGAUUGUUAAAAAAUAGUUGUAUCUGUUACCUCAGAUUCUACUGUGCUAUUACUGAAAUAAUACUUCUGAUAUGUUCUAUUGUUAUCUUUCUAUUAUCGGUAUUUUAUUGAAAUUAUAGGAUUAAUACUGCAGACUCAGAGUUGUAACCAUGUUUAAGCCAAAGGUUUCUACAUGAAAUUAUGUAAUCUAAACCUUACUUAUUUCUGGGAGUAACUGUCUCUAUUCCCAAUUUUAGAACAUAUCCUCAGUCUAUCAAUGUUACAAGAAGUCCUUAGAAAUAGUCAUGAUUCAUACUAUUUUGAGUGGCACUACACUGAAAACGAUACACAGUCUAAUCAAGAAUGUUAUAUUACAGCACAUGCUCAACAUAGUAUAAUAAAUAGUACAUAAAGCCUGCUUACUUUUACACCUCGAAACUUCCUGUUGUAUUGGAACUAUUAAGCUGUGAGGGUCCACAUCAAGGACCAGAGAAAUCCUCUAUUUGAGUUCUUUCAGUUUUGCUGUUAAGGUUGUCGAAAGGCUCAUCCACAAAGUUCCUCUUUAUGACAAAGCCAGAAAGAAAUAAAAGAAAUAGAUUACAUAAAUAUAUAGUAUUUAAAUGAAGGUGCUUUAAUAUUUCUGGUUUAUCUGAUCAGGAGUCCCACUUCUGUUACACAGAUCUUAAAUGAAGUAAACACAUCUGAUACGGGCUAAACAUAAAAGCUUAUGUUUGUCAAAGGCUGGUCCUUCACUGACAGGCUUGUCUACUCAAAUGAAUGAAUUGGCUGUUCAAGGUGAGGCUGUGUGUCAGUGUGAGUCUAUUGGCUGCAACAGCUGCUCCACUGAGGCUUCCCAAGGAGAAGGGAAAGGUGACACCUGUUGUACUCCACUUCACACCACAGCUGAACAUAAACACACACACACACACACACACACACACACACAUCCAAUCAGAGUGAAGGGAGGUUAAGAGGUGCACUUGGGGGUGACGGAAUACCUGUCCAUAUCCUCCCGCAUGUCUAAAGGGAGGUGUUGGAUAUAUGAGUCCUGUGAACUUCAACUUCAAUUUUGACCAUGACAUGCCAUAAGUUAGCCCUAAACUGAAUAUGUUAGCAACCUCCUUCUUGGAUCACUUGACCUUUACUUUUAGGCCUUGACUUUUACUUUUUAGGAAUAACCAAUUUUACUGAAGCACAUAGUUAUUUAACCUGGUGGAAGUCACUGUGUCGGAUGCCGUUUUAUUUUAAAGAAAAAAAAUCUCGACUGCCAGAGAAGGAAAGGAAACCAAACAUGUAGGCAUUAGUAGAACAUGUAACUCUCCAGUAGUCCAGGAGUAUCACAAUGAUUUUCUUUCUCAUUUAGUCUUGUAAUCCGAAAAGACUGUAUGGCCCGAGAGAGAAUAAACUUCGUCUAUACUUU